AGCUUCUUUUGAGUUGAUGAGGAAAGAACAGCAUAAAAUUCUUCAAGAGAAGCAGAAGUCAAAACUGGAGAAGCAUAAAACUGAGGACAUUAUAGUACAGCUUGAAGAUAAUAAGGAGGAUAGAACAGUUUUGGAAAAAAAUAGUGAAGUAGAUGGGAUGACCACCCGACCUUCAGCAAACAGUGGUCUGGGAAAAACUUCUUUUCCUUCACAGAAUCCACCAGCUAGACCGCGUAUACCCCCCGGCUUUAAAACCACUGUGUUGGAUAAGAACUCUGGCUCAAAUUUGAGCCAUUCACGCGUGACAGAGGUUGGAGAAUCUGCUAAGGAAGAAAGCCUAUUGGAAGUAAAAGCCUAUGCUGCCCCAAAUGGUACUCUUCAUAGUGUAGAGAGACAGAGCUUGCAAGAAAUUAGCUCGAGUUAUGAACUUGAAGGUAGGAGUUCACACACAACAAUUUUGAAGAAGAAUGACCAAAUUGCUAAUCAGUCAGUGAGAUCAGAUACUUCUGCCAGGACACUUGGCAUGGAAGAUCAUUUCAAUCAGAGAGCAACUCUUUUAGAGGCUCAUGAAGCCUUGCAUGAGCCUGGAAUUAUUGAACACAGUACCCAGCAAUCUGAUAGGAAAUUUGCUAAGUCUAGUCAAGACCCUUCAGCAUCAAUCUUGGAUAAGAUAUUUGGAAGUGUUAUACCAAUUAAUGUUGGUGACUCUGAGGCUCCUGUUAUGAAUCACGAUAGUAAACCAAAUGACAUGUUGGGCUCAAAGGCAAUACAGUCUUCAAAGUUCGCUCAAUGGUUUAAGGAAGAAGAUAGGAAGACAACAGACGACUCCUCGUCAAAUAGGCCAAAUGAUU
rnacentral:misc_RNA from 1 species